AUUGAACGCUGGCGGCAGGCCUAACACAUGAAAGUCGAACGAGUGGCGGACGGGUGAGUAAUGUCUGGGAAACUGCCCGAUGGAGGGGGAUAACUACUGGAAACGGUAGCUAAUACCGCAUACCAUCGGAUGUGCCCAGAUGGGAUUAGCGAGUAGGUGGGGUAACGGCGCACCUAGGCGACGAUCCAUAGCUGGUUUGAGAGGAUGACCAGCACCACUGGAAUGUAGACACGGUCCAGACUCCUACGGGAGGCAGCAGGGGGGAAUAUUGCACAAUGGGCGCAAGCCUGAUGCAGCAAUGCCGCGUGUAUGAAGAAGGCCUUAGGGUUGUAAAGUACUUUCAGCGAGGAGGCGUUACUCGCAGAAGAAGCACCGGCUAACUCCGUGCCAGCAGCCGCGGUAAUUC
rnacentral:rRNA from 1 species